rnacentral:rRNA from 1 species
GACGAGCGCUGGCGGCGUGCUUAACACAUGCAAGUCGAACGAUGAAGCCGGAGCUUGCUCUGGUGAAUUAGUGGCGAACGGGUGAGUAACACGUGAGUAACCUGCCCUUGACUCUGGGAUAACUGCUAGAAAUGGUAGCUAAUACCGGAUACGACCCUCGGCGGCAUCGCCAGGGGGUGGAAAGAAUUUCGGUCAAGGAUGGACUCGCGGCCUAUCAGCUAGUUGGUGAGGUAACGGGUCACCAAGGCGACGACGGGUAGCCGGCCUGAGAGGGUGACCGGCCACACUGGGACUGAGACACGGCCCAGACUCCUACGGGAGGCAGCAGUGGGGAAUAUUGCACAAUGGGCGCAAGCCUGAUGCAGCAACGCCGCGUGAGGGAUGACGGCCUUCGGGUUGUAAACCUCUUUUAGUAGGGAAGAAGCGAAAGUGACGGUACCUGCAGAAAAAGCACCGGCUAACUACGUGCCAGCAGCCGCCGUAA